UGAUGUUAGUGUGAUCCAGCUGCAUCUAUCACCUUUCUUAGGGCUGCUUUGACUAGUUAGGUGGGUAUCUUCUCCCUCUCUUACUACUCCCUAUACAUCUUUCCAAACUCUGUAUUAUUGAUCAAAGAGGACAACCUUCCUUGGUAGAGGAGUACUGGAUUUUUUCAAGGGUGUAUAGGUAGUUGUGCUCUCCUAUGAGAAUUUUCAAAUAGUUUCUAAGAAAAUGCUUAUUAAGCUACAAAUCAGUAUUUGUAC
rnacentral:snRNA from 1 species